AACGAACGCUGGCGGCAUGCCUAACACAUGCAAGUCGAACGGGAUCCUAGCUUGCUAGGUGAGAGUGGCGGACGGGUGAGUAACACGUGGGAAUCUGCCUUUUGGUUCGGGAUAACCGCGGGAAACUGCGGCUAAUACCGAAUGCCCUCGAGAGAGGAAAGAUUUAUCGCCAGAAGAGGAGCCCGCGUCCGAUUAGGUAGUUGGUGGGGUAAAGCCUACCAAGCCGACGAUCGGUAGCUGGUCUGAGAGGAUGAUCAGCCACACUGGGACUGAGAUACGGCCCAGACUCCUACGGGAGGCAGCA
rnacentral:rRNA from 1 species